rnacentral:lncRNA from 1 species
CGUGCUUACAAAUGUCUGACUAAUGGCUUUUUGUAUGAGGUUUUUCUGUACUUCGGGUAUGGUCGAUUCUACCAGUAAGGGAAUUUCUUCGUCAAUUAUGUUCCUAGAUGACUCGUUUUCUUCCUUAAUCUCCAUUGUAGGAAUUCUGAGCUGUUGCGUCUGUUUGAUACUCGACAGGAUUGUUUUUUAGCAAGAUUAUUUUGGUAAGGUGCAUUUAUAGAUUAUUAAGUUAUUGGAUUUUAGUGUAAGAGAAGGAAAAUGUGAGUUAGCAAUGCCUUGCAAGAAACAGAAACAUAAUGGCAGUUUACUUUUUCAGGUUUGGUAGUGUUGUUAUGUAAAAGUACGGCAAGGAGGCAGAAUUAAAGUUGAGCUGAAGUUAUGGAAGAGAAGGAAAAUGUGAGUAGCAAUGCCUUGCAAGAAACAGAAACAUAAAUGCUUAAAACUGGAUUACAUGGGAGUUUACUUUUUCAGGUUUGAUAGUGUUGUUAUGCAAAAGUACGGCAAGGAGGCAGAAUUAAAGUUGAGCUGAAGUUAUGGAACUUGGCUUUUGGGUAAGAUUUGGCUUUCCUUUUCCCUUUAACAGCAAACUAUGCAUUUUUACGUUUAGGACUUGGUUUAGAAGUUCC